rnacentral:rRNA from 1 species
UACAGAGGGUGCGAGCGUUAAUCGGAAUUACUGGGCGUAAAGGGCUCGUAGGUGGCCAACUAAGUCAGACGUGAAAUCCCUCGGCUUAACCGGGGAACUGCGUCUGAUACUGGAUGGCUUGAGUUCGGGAGAGGGAUGCGGAAUUCCAGGUGUAGCGGUGAAAUGCGUAGAUAUCUGGAGGAACACCGGUGGCGAAGGCGGCAUCCUGGACCGACACUGACGCUGAUGAGCGAAAGCCAGGGGAGCAAACGGG